rnacentral:rRNA from 1 species
AUGCACGCGUACUCCGCCGUAUGCAACAAAACCGACAGCCGGUUCCAGCAAAUAGGCCUGCUGGUUCCAGCUUUCGUCAUGUCCGUCAUUGUAGUAGGUUGCAGCGGUGCCGGCGUGCUCCAGCGUACGCCACAAAUUGGGUGCCGGUUCCAGCAAAUCGGCCUACUGGUUCCAGCAUCGCACAACCACCAUGGCAGCAGGCCUCCUUGCCAGUUCCAGCAUGCUGCCAUGCCGGUUCCAGCAUCGCGUGAUCACCGUGGCAGCACGCCUCCUUGCCGGUUCCAGCAUGCUGCCAUGCCGGUUCCAGCCCGUGGACGCAGCAGCUCCUCAGCCAACAAUCUGCAUCUCCGCAUCUGGCGCAAAAAAUCUCUCCCCCAUCUCCGCCAUUGCAGCUCCUGCCCUCCCGUCAGAGCUAUGUCUUCCACCUUGAAUCAGCGCCAAUUAGAAGGUGGAGGUAACAGGAAGCUACUGGAGGCGACGAGAGAGGAAGGGAGCGUGUCCUGCCAUUCACGUCAAAAAAAGAGGAAGGGAGCGUGUGGAAGAACAUGGUAG